CGCGGGGUGGAGCAGCCUGGUAGCUCGUCGGGCUCAUAACCCGAAGGUCGUCGGUUCAAAUCCGGCCCCCGCAACCAAUA
rnacentral:tRNA from 1 species